ensembl:lncRNA
GGCAGAGGCUGAGGUGGCAGUGGCGCCGGGCGCCUGCCACCUAAUGACCGUCCUGGCCCCGCCAGAUGCUCCACAGACCUCGGCAGCGGCCGUCCAGGGCCCGCCCGGCCAGCCGGCACCGCAGAGGCCACUCUAAUUCCAAUUAACCAGCUUCAGCUGAGCAAACAGCGGGCAGUGGUGGCCCAGCCCGGGCGGUAGGCCCGGCCUGCAGAGCCUCCGAGUCUAGACUCCAGAUGUGAACCACCACAGCCAGAGUCCCAUGGAAAAAUGGCACCAGGCCGGGCACGGAUCGAGUCUGCACGCCGGAGAGGCGGGGGUGGGUGGCUGGGCAGGGCCCCUGGUGGGCCUACUGCCAGCCUCACCCUGGGGUGGGAGUGGAUUCUUGGGAAACAGCUCCAAAAGCCCCAAGUUCGCCCCUGAUGUGUUAGGUGUCCCUUUCAGUGGCCUCCCUCUCCCCUGACUACGGUUGAGUGGGAGGGGGCUACUGUAGGGGAAGAGGGAGGCCAGCCCUGUGGAGAGCUCCAGUACACUAGGUCAUCUGUAUUUAACGUGUCCAGCAUUAUGAUAACCCAUUUUAGAAAUACUCAUGGAAUGGUUAUAACACCCCUGUGAGGGAGGUGGCAUCAUUUUUACAGAUAAAGGAAACUGAAGUAGACAUUAAGGGCCCCAGAGGGAUUUGAACCUAGGAUGCCUGGUUUGGGGGAUGUUCACCGCAGGUGCUGCUGACAUAAAUCAAGAUGCUUAAUUCUGGGUUCCGUCUUGGAGUGGCGCUGGAGAAGAGGGUCAGCAUCGACAGCAGGGCUGGCUGCCCACUCUGUCCUGUUUGCUCAGCUGUAAAAUGAGCAGAAGAGGUGCCUCCCGCUCCCACAAUCCUGUCUGGGGUCGGACCCUGAGUGGCAAGGUGUCAUCUCCUGUAAUACCCAGACAGCCUCCAACCUCUUUGUCAUUUUAAGGCAGACCAGACUAUGGAAAUGAUGUUAGACAAAAAGCAAAUCUGAGCAAUUUUCUUACUUGAAUACAAAAUGGGUCGUAAAGCAGCAGAGACAAUUGGCAACAUCAACAACACAUCUGGCCCAGGAAUGCACAGUGCAAUGGUGAUUCAAGAAGUUUUGCAAAGGAGAUGAGAGGCUUGAAGAUGAGGAGUGCAGUGGCUGGCCAUCGGAAGGUGACAACAACCAAUUGAGAGCAGUCACUGAGGCUGAUCCUCUUACAACUACACCAAAAGUUGCCAAAGAACUCAGUGUCAGCUAUUCUACAGUUGUUCGGCAUUUAAAGUAAAUUGGAAAGGUGAAAAGGCUUGGUAAGUGGGUGCCUCAUGAGCUGACUGCAAAUCAAAAAUAUCGUCAUGUUGAAGUGUCAUCUUUUCUUAUUCUAUGCAACAACAACCAACCAUUUCUCAAUUGGGAUUGUGACCUGCAAUGAAAAGUGAACUGCAUACAACAACCAGCAAUGACCAGCUCAGUGGUUGGAGUGAGAAGAAGCUCCAAAGCACUUACCAAAGCCAAACUUGCGCCAAAAAAAGGUCAUGGUCACUGUUUGGUGGCCUGCUGCUGGUCUGAUCCACUGCAGCUUUCUGAAUCCUGGUGAAACCAUUAUAUCUGAGAAGUAUGCUCAGCAAAUCAGUGAAAUCACCAAAAACUGCAGCCGGUAUCAGUCAACAGAAAGGGCCUGACGAAAGGUCGCACAACCAAAAGUUGAAGGAAUCGGGCUACGAUGUUUCGCCUCAUCCGCCAUAUUCACCUGACCUCGGCCAACCAACUACUACUUCUUCAAUCAUCUUGACAACUUUUUGCAGGAAAAACACUUCCACAACCAGCAGGAUACAGAAAAUGCUUUCCAAGAGUUCGUUGAUUUCUGAAGCAUUGAUUUUUAUGCUACAGGAGUAAGCAAACUUAUUUCUAGUUGGCAAAAAUGUGUUGAUUGUAAAGGUUCCUGUUUUGAUUAAUAAAGAUGUGUUUGAGCCUAGUUAUAAUGACUUAAAA